rnacentral:rRNA from 1 species
UGGGGGAUAUUGCACAAUGGGGGAAACCCUGAUGCAGCGACGCCGCGUGGAGGAAGAAAGUUUUCGGAUUGUAAACUCCUGUCGUUAGGGACGAUAAUGACGGUACCUAACAAGAAAGCACCGGCUAACUACGUGCCAGCAGCCGCGGUAAAACGUAGGGUGCAAGCGUUGUCCGGAAUUACUGGGUGUAAAGGGAGCGCAGGCGGACCGGCAAGUUGGAAGUGAAAUCCAUGGGCUCAACCCGUGAAUUGCUUUCAAAACUGCUGGCCUUGAGUAGUGCAGAGGUAGGUGGAAUUCCCGGUGUAGCGGUGGAAUGCGUAGAUAUCGGGAGGAACACCAGUGGCGAAGGCGACCUACUGGGCACCAACUGACGCUGAGGCUCGAAAGCAUGGGUAGCAAACAGGAUUAGAUACCCUGGUAGUCCAUGCCGUAAACGAUGAUUACUAGGUGUUGGAGGAUUGACCCCUUCAGUGCCGCAGUUAACACAAUAAGUAAUCCACCUGGGGAGUACGACCGCAAGGUUGAAACUCAAAGGAAUUGACGGGGGCCCGCACAAGCAGUGGAGUAUGUGGUUUAAUUCGAAGCAACGCGAAGAACCUUACCAGGUCUUGACAUCCGAUGCAUAGUGCAGAGAUGCAUGAAGUCCUUCGGGACAUCGAGACAGGUGGUGCAUGGUUGUCGUCAGCUCGUGUCGUGAGAUGUUGGGUUAAGUCCCGCAACGAGCGCAACCCUUAUUGCCAGUUACUACGUAAGAGGACUCUGGCGAGACUGCCGUUGACAAAACGGAGGAAGGUGGGGAUGACGUCAAAUCAUCAUGCCCUUUAUGACCUGGGCUACACACGUACUACAAUGGCGUUUAACAAAGAGAAGCAAGACCGCGAGGUGGAGCAAAACUCAGAAACAACGUCUCAGUUCAGAUUGCAGGCUGCAACUCGCCUGCAUGAAGUCGGAAUUGCUAGUAAUCGCGGAUCAGCAUGCCGCGGUGAAUACGUUCCC